GCGGGUAUAGCUCAGUGGUAGAGUCGUAGCUUCCCAAGCUACUGGUCGCGAGUUCGAAUCUCGUUGCCCGCUCCA
rnacentral:tRNA from 1 species